rnacentral:rRNA from 1 species
GUGGGGAAUUUUGGACAAUGGGCGCAAGCCUGAUCCAGCAAUGCCGCGUGCAGGAAGAAGGCCUUCGGGUUGUAAACUGCUUUUGUACGGAACGAAACGGUCCGGGUUAAUACCCUGGGCUAAUGACGGUACCGUAAGAAUAAGCACCGGCUAACUACGUGCCAGCAGCCGCGGUAAUACGUAGGGUGCAAGCGUUAAUCGGAAUUACUGGGCGUAAAGCGUGCGCAGGCGGUUUUGUAAGACAGGCGUGAAAUCCCCGGGCUCAACCUGGGAAUUGCGCUUGUGACUGCAAGGCUGGAGUGCGGCAGAGGGGGAUGGAAUUCCGCGUGUAGCAGUGAAAUGCGUAGAUAUGCGGAGGAACACCGAUGGCGAAGGCAAUCCCCUGGGCCUACACUGACGCUCAUGCACGAAAGCGUGGGGAGCAAACAGGAUUAGAUACCCGAGUAGUCC